AAGGGGUAAACGCGAUCCAAUCGUCAAAUUGGCUGUGACGUGUAACUUUUUCUUUUGAUUUCAUAUCACAGCCAUUUUUGAUGUUUGGAUCGGGGUUUUUUUCGCAUCGUUG
rnacentral:pre_miRNA from 1 species